rnacentral:rRNA from 1 species
AAAUUUCCCAUGGCGAACUGCUCAAUAACACAUGAUCAACUUACCCUAUAGAGAAAAAUAACNUCGGGAAACUGAGGAUAAUGUUUCAUAGUUGAAAAGGCUUGGAAAAGUUUUUCGACCAAAGGGAUAAGAAAAAUGGUUUUUAUCCGCUAUAGGAUAGGAUCGUGGUCGAUUAUGGUCGUUGGUGAGGUAAUGGCUCACCAAGCCGAUAAUCGAUAGGGGCCGUGAGAGCGGGAGCCCCGAGAUGGGUACUGAGACAGCGACCCAGGCCUUACGAGGCGCAGCAGGCGCGGAACCUCCGCAAUACACGAAAGUGUGACGGGGUUACCCAAAGUGUUCAAUUUUGAACUGUGGUAGGUGAGUAAUGUUCCCUACUAGAAAGGAGAGGGCAAGGCUGGUGCCAGCCGCCGCGGUAAAACCAGCUCUUCAAGUGGUCGGGAUAAUUAUUGGGCUUAAAGUGUCCGUAGCCGGUUUAGUAAGUUCCUGGUAAAAUCGGGUAGCUUAACUAUCUGCAUGCUAGGAAUACUGCUAUACUAGAGGACGGGAGAGGUCUGAGGUACUACAGGGGUAGGGGUGAAAUCUUAUAAUCCUUGUAGGACCACCAGUGGCGAAGGCGUCAGACUGGAACGUGCCUGACGGUGAGGGACGAAAGCCAGGGGAGCGAACCGGAUUAGAUACCCGGGUAGUCCUGGCCGUAAACGAUGCAUACUAGGUGAUGGCGUGGCCAUGAGCCGUGUCAGUGCCGUAGGGAAACCGUUAAGUGUGCCGCCUGGGAAGUACGGUCGCAAGGCUAAAACUUAA